rnacentral:rRNA from 1 species
AGAGUUUGAUCCUGGCUCAGGAUGAACGCUGGCGGCAUGCCUAAUACAUGCAAGUCGAACGGAGAAGCCUAACAGAAGAUGCUUGCAUCGGAAGAUAGAUACUUCUCAGUGGCGAACGGGUGAGUAACACGUAGGUAACCUGCCCAUGUGCCCGGGAUAAUUUCUGGAAACGGAAACUAAAACCGGAUAGGUAAUAGAGAAGCAUUUCUGUAUUAUUAAAGAAGCCUCAAAGCUUUGAACAUGGAUGGACCUGCGGUGCAUUAGCUAGUUGGUAAGGUAACGGCCUACCAAGGCGACGAUGCAUAGCCGACCUGAGAGGGCGAACGGCCACAUUGGGACUGAGACACGGCCCAAACUCCUACGGGAGGCAGCAGUAGGGAAUUUUCGUCAAUGGGGGGAACCCUGAACGAGCAAUGCCGCGUGAGUGAAGACGGUCUUCGGAUUGUAAAGCUCUGUUGUGAGAGAAAAAGGAUAUAUAUAGGAAAUGAUAUGUAUUUGAUGGUAUCUCACCAGAAAGUCACGGCUAACUACGUGCCAGCAGCCGCGGUAAUACGUAGGUGGCGAGCGUUAUCCGGAAUGAUUGGGCGUAAAGGGUACGUAGGCGGCAUGAUAAGUCUGGAGUGAAAGGCUACAGCUCAACUGUAGUAUGCUCUGGAAACUGUCAAGCUAGAGUGCAGAAGAGGGCAAUGGAACUCCAUGUGUAGCGGUAAAAUGCGUAGAUAUAUGGAAGAACACCGGUGGCGAAGGCGGUUGCCUGGUCUGAAACUGACGCUGAAGUACGAAAGCGUGGGGAGCAAAUAGGAUUAGAUACCCUAGUAGUCCACGCCGUAAACGAUGAG